UCAGGCUUCAACACUGGAAUAGAGUCCUGCCACCACCACCGACGAUCCACGAUUUACUCUGCCCUUACUGACAGUCACCUAAGGAAAAAAACAACUUUGUUGGUCAAAGUUGUCAAGGCUUUAUUCUAAGUCAAAGAUUACGUUAAUUACCGAAAAAUGAGAGUUAUAACGUGGUUUCACCAAACUACAUGUUAACACACCAAUCUAACAUCAAUGAGAAGAUGAGAGCCAUGCUAAUGGACUGCCUUAUCGAGGUACCAUCAAAGACCUUUUUUUUAAUAACUACUAAAAAAAAUUUGAAAAUAACCAGGUGCACUAGAAAGAAGUUGCAACUGGUUGGUAUUGGUGGUGUUGAGUGGUGACUUGGUUGUGGUGGUGAAUGGCUACAACGCUGGAUUGAACACCGACGGAGCUUGAAAGUGAUUUUCUAAUUUAACUCGGUUUCAUCAGUUAUUCAUCAAUCGAAGUUAGCGGUUAGGGAAGAUCAAACGUAUUCCAGAGUUUACGUUUUUGUGUUAUAUGAAUCUGAUCGAAUGCCUUUUCUCAAACAAAAUCAUUAUACUCCGGUCAAGCCGUUGACCGUGUCGGCUGCGGUCUCUCACUUCUUUGAAGAACGAGGUGUUGACUGCUAACUGUUUGCGAAAACAUGCCAAUGGGAACUUCAAAUUUUGAUAUGAAAAAAGCUCUUGAGUCUUGAACGACAAGAAAUUCUUGUUCGCUUGGCCUGUUGCUCGACAGGAGCAUGGGAUGUUGUUACAGAGGCAAGAUUCAUUCAAGCAGAAGUUUGGAACCUUAGACGAUCAUAAUACCGACGGUCUACAGGAUUCUACUGAGGAUUUGUAGCCAAUUUGACUACUUAUGGGUUUCAAUGAAGAAAACAAAGCUAAGAAAGGAAUCCACAUAAACCCCAAGAUUGUGUAAACACGACUGAAAUGUCUUGGGUGUGAAAAGUGUCGUCUGUAGGGAAACCGCACUCAAAAUCUUGUUCUCUGCUGACGGUCAAAAUGAUCGAGAUCAGCCUUGCAAAGGAUUGAAGUAAUAUCAUUGAUGAAUCUGCUCAAUCGUCUCUCGGAAUCACUUAAAUCACUGAUAUGGCUUCAUCUGAUUCAUGAAAUUAAGAGGGCUUCAAAUGCGCUCAUUGGGGCGUGUGAAUAUCAAUAGGCAACCAACCACCUACACAAGAGCUUGUGGCCAGGGAUUUACAUGACCAUGUAUGGACGUUUUGCCAUAUUUAUUGUGGGUAACCUAAGCAUCACUUGCUCACAACUAGCCGGAGUCUCUUUGUUAGUGGGAAGAGGCUUUUUGCAGGAGACUCGGUCUUGUUAAUUAUACUCCAGCUAGCUACCCGUUUACCUCUACACCAUUUAAUUUAACUAUCUUCUUAUGAAUUUACUUGAAAAUUUGUGUUUGGCUACCCUUUUACCUGUACACCAUUUAAUUUAACUAUAUGUUUUAGGGGUUCCGUUUCCAACAUCAUUUCUGUUUGUUUCGCAGCACAAAAGUUUGAUUUAUCCGAUUAUGUAUGACGCAAGCUAUAAUUUAGGUAACGUGAAACGAGAAACGAGAACUGUUAUCUCGACUUACUCUAUCAAUUUUGGACUAUUUAUCAUUUUCAAUUUUGGUUUGACUUUGUAACGUGAAACGACAACUGUUAACCGAGUGAACCCGAUGGGCAAACCGUAGAAGCUGAAACUCAACGAGUUUACUGAUAUGACUAACCAUGAGUUCAAGGCUGGUUUUGUUUAAAAAAUCUUGCACUUCAGGAUGCUAAAAGGCAAAAGGCGACAGACCCCGUUCACGCAUGCGAAGACCACUGAUCCACCGCCAUCCAUUGACUGGAGGACAAAUGGAGCCGUCAACCCUAUGAAGAACCAAGGCCGAUGUGGUAGUUGUUGGACGUUUUCAACCAUAGUUGGGGUGGUGGGAACAACUAAUUAACCGAAUCCAACACAUCCCGGUCCUGAUGAAAAACAAACACUACCACCAGUCAACCAUCGUAAGAAAAGGAAAACCCCAGCUGUAACGAAACCAUCUGUCAGUGAGUAUGACCCCCAGUGGAUUCCCCAACGACUUUCUGAUGUUAAACGGGUCGAAUUCAAUGGGUCGUCCAAGAAAAAAAAGGCUAAGAAAGUUGCUGAAAUGAACAUUGAUUCUUUAAAGGCUGUUGGAAAUGGAAGUAUCUUUAAACUGCGUGGUUUGGAGCAGAAUGUGACAGUUCGAG